GGGGAUGCAUUGAUUCGACAGGAUUAUGUUUGGGUAGAAUGCAAGUAGUAGGCGUACUUUAAACGUAAAAACAAAAUAAUCGGAAACGAUUUUAAUUUUUCUCCAGCUUUUGCCUAAGUUAGGUAAAAAGGAGCUUCCACUUUUAACUUUUGUUCACGAGUUUUAAGAGGGGAGUCAUAAAGUGAACUAUAUUAUAAAUUUGUUUAUGAUUUAUAACGAAUGAUUAGUAAACUUUGAAUAGUAAGAGAAGUUGGCAAUCUACAUUAUUAUUCGAGAAUAAAAACCAACUAAACUUGUAGAUGUUCUAUUGGAAUGAAUCUUGGACAGGAGUUCGCUACUCCUCAUCUCCACCA
rfam:Clostridium sp. CAG:524 genomic scaffold, scf62